rnacentral:rRNA from 1 species
GACGAACGCGGCGGCGUGCCUAAUACAUGCAAGUAGAACGCUGAAGGAGGAGCUUGCUUCUCUGGAUGAGUUGCGAACGGGUGAGUAACGCGUAGGUAACCUGCCUGGUAGCGGGGGAUAACUAUUGGAAACGAUAGCUAAUACCGCAUAAUAGCAGUUAUUGCAUGAUAACUGUUUGAAAGGUGCAAUUGCACCACUACCAGAUGGACCUGCGUUGUAUUAGCUAGUUGGUGGGGUAACGGCUCACCAAGGCGACGAUACAUAGCCGACCUGAGAGGGUGAUCGGCCACACUGGGACUGAGACACGGCCCAGACUCCUACGGGAGGCAGCAGUAGGGAAUUUCGGCAAUGGACGGAAGUCUGACCGAGCAACGCCGCGUGAGUGAAGAAGGUUUUCGGAUCGUAAAGCUCUGUUGUAAGAGAAGAAACGAGUGUGAGAAGUGGAAAAGUUUCAACACUGGGACGGAUUUUACC